UAAUAAUAUAUAAAUUAUAUUUAAAAGAAUAAUGAUGGGGUUUUUUUAUCUUGUAUUACAUCACAAGUGUUUGUAAUUUGAACGGUAGAAAACUCUUUAAUAUUGUAAGAGUAAGAGAAGUCUACAUGUGACCGAUAACUACAUAGAGGAGAUGACCAAACCAAAAUUUUGUACGACUACAAAUUAAACCUAUGUUGCCUUAUUAUAUUAUAGUAUAG
rnacentral:lncRNA from 1 species